CAAAUAUUUGGGUGAGAAUGUGGAAAUAAUUCGGGAAACCUAAGAUUUUAUCUUUCAGUUUGGUUGUUAGUUAUUUAGCUAUAGCUACUGUGCAUAAGCCGAAUAUUAUUUCAUCGGACAUUUUUACCUACAACCAGUCGCUGUAUCGGAUGAUAGCAAGAAUUAAAAAAAAAAAAACCACCCCGUAUAUUGUAACGUCGUUUGUUAUACGGACGUAAACACUAACGCAGUAUAAUCGGAAGAGUUUAAAUUAUUUAAUUAAUCAAUCGUAUCCAAUUACUCGGCGUAUAUUCGAUACGGUGAAAAGAUUAUUGUACGAUUAUUG